rnacentral:rRNA from 1 species
GUGCACGCUGGCGGUAGGCCUAACACAUGCAAGUCGAACGGCAGCACAGUAAGAGCUUGCUCUUACGGGUGGCGAGUGGCGGACGGGUGAGGAAUACGUCGGAAUCUACUUUUUCGUGGGGGAUAACGUAGGGAAACUUACGCUAAUACCGCAUACGACCUACGGGUGAAAGCAGGGGAUCUUCGGACCUUGCGCGAUUGAAUGAGCCGAUGUCGGAUUAGCUAGUUGGCGGGGUAAAGGCCCACCAAGGCGACGAUCCGUAGCUGGUCUGAGAGGAUGAUCAGCCACACUGGAACUGAGACACGGUCCAGACUCCUACGGGAGGCAGCAGUGGGGAAUAUUGGACAAUGGGCGCAAGCCUGAUCCAGCCAUACCGCGUGGGUGAAGAAGGCCUUCGGGUUGUAAAGCCCUUUUGUUGGGAAAGAAAAGCAGCAGGUUAAUACCCCGCUGUUCUGACGGUACCCAAAGAAUAAGCACCGGCUAACUUCGUG